rnacentral:rRNA from 1 species
UUAAGCGACUAAGCGUACACGGUGGAUGCCCUGGCAGUCAGAGGCGAUGAAGGACGUGCUAAUCUGCGAUAAGCGUCGGUAAGGUGAUAUGAACCGUUAUAACCGGCGAUUUCCGAAUGGGGAAACCCAGUGUGUUUCGACACACUAUCAUUAACUGAAUCCAUAGGUUAAUGAGGCGAACCGGGGGAACUGAAACAUCUAAGUACCCCGAGGAAAAGAAAUCAACCGAGAUUCCCCCAGUAGCGGCGAGCGAACGGGGAGGAGCCCAGAGCCUGAAUCAGUGUGUGUGUUAGUGGAAGCGUCUGGAAAGGCGCGCGAUACAGGGUGACAGCCCCGUACACAAAAAUGCACAUGCUGUGAGCUCGAUGAGUAGGGCGGGACACGUGGUAUCCUGUCUGAAUAUGGGGGGACCAUCCUCCAAGGCUAAAUACUCCUGACUGACCGAUAGUGAACCAGUACCGUGAGGGAAAGGCGAAAAGAACCCCGGCGAGGGGAGUGAAAAAGAACCUGAAACCGUGUACGUACAAGCAGUGGGAGCACAGAGCAAUCUGUGUGACUGCGUACCUUUUGUAUAAUGGGUCAGCGACUUAUAUUCUGUAGCAAGGUUAACCGAAUAGGGGAGCCGAAGGGAAACCGAGUCUUAACUGGGCGUUAAGUUGCAGGGUAUAGACCCGAAACCCGGUGAUCUAGCCAUGGGCAGGUUGAAGGUUGGGUAACACUAACUGGAGGACCGAACCGACUAAUGUUGAAAAAUUAGCGGAUGACUUGUGGCUGGGGGUGAAAGGCCAAUCAAACCGGGAGAUAGCUGGUUCUCCCCGAAAGCUAUUUAGGUAGCGCCUCGUGAAUUCAUCUCCGGGGGUAGAGCACUGUUUCGGCAAGGGGGUCAUCCCGACUUACCAACCCGAUGCAAACUGCGAAUACCGGAGAAUGUUAUCACGGGAGACACACGGCGGGUGCUAACGUCCGUCGUGAAGAGGGAAACAACCCAGACCGCCAGCUAAGGUCCCAAAGUCAUGGUUAAGUGGGAAACGAUGUGGGAAGGCCCAGACAGCCAGGAUGUUGGCUUAGAAGCAGCCAUCAUUUAAAGAAAGCGUAAUAGCUCACUGGUCGAGUCGGCCUGCGCGGAAGAUGUAACGGGGCUAAACCAUGCACCGAAGCUGCGGCAGCGACACUGUGUGUUGUUGGGUAGGGGAGCGUUCUGUAAGCCUGUGAAGGUGUGCUGUGAGGCAUGCUGGAGGUAUCAGAAGUGCGAAUGCUGACAUAAGUAACGAUAAAGCGGGUGAAAAGCCCGCUCGCCGGAAGACCAAGGGUUCCUGUCCAACGUUAAUCGGGGCAGGGUGAGUCGACCCCUAAGGCGAGGCCGAAAGGCGUAGUCGAUGGGAAACAGGUUAAUAUUCCUGUACUUGGUGUUACUGCGAAGGGGGGACGGAGAAGGCUAUGUUGGCCGGGCGACGGUUGUCCCGGUUUAAGCGUGUAGGCUGGUUUUCCAGGCAAAUCCGGAAAAUCAAGGCUGAGGCGUGAUGACGAGGCACUACGGUGCUGAAGCAACAAAUGCCCUGCUUCCAGGAAAAGCCUCUAAGCAUCAGGUAACAUCAAAUCGUACCCCAAACCGACACAGGUGGUCAGGUAGAGAAUACCAAGGCGCUUGAGAGAACUCGGGUGAAGGAACUAGGCAAAAUGGUGCCGUAACUUCGGGAGAAGGCACGCUGAUAUGUAGGUGAAGUCCCUCGCGGAUGGAGCUGAAAUCAGUCGAAGAUACCAGCUGGCUGCAACUGUUUAUUAAAAACACAGCACUGUGCAAACACGAAAGUGGACGUAUACGGUGUGACGCCUGCCCGGUGCCGGAAGGUUAAUUGAUGGGGUCAGCGCAAGCGAAGCUCUUGAUCGAAGCCCCGGUAAACGGCGGCCGUAACUAUAACGGUCCUAAGGUAGCGAAAUUCCUUGUCGGGUAAGUUCCGACCUGCACGAAUGGCGUAAUGAUGGCCAGGCUGUCUCCACCCGAGACUCAGUGAAAUUGAACUCGCUGUGAAGAUGCAGUGUACCCGCGGCAAGACGGAAAGACCCCGUGAACCUUUACUAUAGCUUGACACUGAACAUUGAGCCUUGAUGUGUAGGAUAGGUGGGAGGCUUUGAAGUGUGGACGCCAGUCUGCAUGGAGCCGACCUUGAAAUACCACCCUUUAAUGUUUGAUGUUCUAACGUGGACCCGUGAUCCGGGUUGCGGACAGUGUCUGGUGGGUAGUUUGACUGGGGCGGUCUCCUCCUAAAGAGUAACGGAGGAGCACGAAGGUUGGCUAAUCCUGGUCGGACAUCAGGAGGUUAGUGCAAUGGCAUAAGCCAGCUUGACUGCGAGCGUGACGGCGCGAGCAGGUGCGAAAGCAGGUCAUAGUGAUCCGGUGGUUCUGAAUGGAAGGGCCAUCGCUCAACGGAUAAAAGGUACUCCGGGGAUAACAGGCUGAUACCGCCCAAGAGUUCAUAUCGACGGCGGUGUUUGGCACCUCGAUGUCGGCUCAUCACAUCCUGGGGCUGAAGUAGGUCCCAAGGGUAUGGCUGUUCGCCAUUUAAAGUGGUACGCGAGCUGGGUUUAGAACGUCGUGAGACAGUUCGGUCCCUAUCUGCCGUGGGCGCUGGAGAACUGAGGGGGGCUGCUCCUAGUACGAGAGGACCGGAGUGGACGCAUCACUGGUGUUCGGGUUGUCAUGCCAAUGGCACUGCCCGGUAGCUAAAUGCGGAAGAGAUAAGUGCUGAAAGCAUCUAAGCACGAAACUUAGCCCCGAGAUGAGUUCUCCCUGACCCUUUAAGGGUCCUGAAGGAACGUUGAAGACGACGACGUUGAUAGGCCGGGUGUGUAAGCGCAGCGAUGCGUUGAGCUAACCGGUACUAAUGAACCGUGAGGCUUAACCUU